UGGGGAAUCUUGCACAAUGGGCGAAAGCCUGAUGCAGCAACGCCGCGUGCGGGAAGACAGCCCUAGGGUUGUAAACCGCUUUCAGCAGGGAAGAAACUGACGGUACCUGCAGAAGAAGAUGCGGCCAACUACGUGCCAGCAGCCGCGGUGACACGUAGGCAUCAAGCGUUAUCCGGAUUUAUUGGGCGUAAAGAGCUCGUAGGCGGUUUCGGUAAGUCGGGUGUGAAAACUCUGGGCUCAACCCAGAGAGGCCACUCGAUACUGCUGUGACUAGAGUGCGGUAGGGGAGCGGGGAAUUCCUGGUGUAGCGGUGAAAUGCGCAGAUAUCAGGAGGAACACCAGUGGCGAAGGCGCCGCUCUGGGCCGUAACUGACGCUGAGGAGCGAAAGCAUGGGUAGCAAACAGGAUUAGAUACCCUGGUAGUCCACACCGUAAACGAUGAAUGCCAGUCGUC
rnacentral:rRNA from 1 species